GAUGAACGCUGGCGGCGUGCCUAACACAUGCAAGUCGAGCGCGUCUGAUUUGAUGCUUGCAUUAAUGAAAGAUGAGCGGCGGACGGGUGAGUAACGCGUGGGUAACCUGCCCUAUACACAUGGAUAACAUACUGAAAAGUUUACUAAUACAUGAUAAUAUAUAUUUACGGCAUCGUAGAUAUAUCAAAGUGUUAGCGGUAUAGGAUGGACCCGCGUCUGAUUAGCUAGUUGGUGAGAUAACUGCCCACCAAGGCGACGAUCAGUAGCCGACCUGAGAGGGUGAUCGGCCACAUUGGAACUGAGACACGGUCCAAACUCCUACGGGAGGCAGCAGUGGGGAAUAUUGCACAAUGGGCGCAAGCCUGAUGCAGCAACGCCGCGUGAACGAUGAAGGUCUUCGGAUCGUAAAGUUCUGUUGCAGGGGAAGAUAAUGACGGUACCCUGUGAGGAAGCCCCGGCUAACUACGUGCCAGCAGCCGCGGUAAUACGUAGGGGGCUAGCGUUAUCCGGAUUUACUGGGCGUAAAGGGUGCGUAGGUGGUCUUUCAAGUCGGUGGUUAAAGGCUACGGCUCAACCGUAGUUAGCCUCCGAAACUGGAAGACUUGAGUGCAGGAGAGGAAAGUGGAAUUCCCAGUGUAGCGGUGAAAUGCGUAGAUAUUGGGAGGAACACCAGUAGCGAAGGCGGCUUUCUGGACUGCAACUGACACUGAGCACGAAAGCGUGGGGUAGCAAACAGGAUUAUAUACCCUGGUAGUCCAAGGGCGAAUUCUACAGUGGAUAUCAAGCUUAUCGAUACCGUCGACCUCUAGGGGGGGCCGGCACCCACUCUCGUUCCCUUUAUUAGGGGUUAAUUAAACCC
rnacentral:rRNA from 1 species